rnacentral:rRNA from 1 species
GAUGAACGCUAGCUACAGGCUUAACACAUGCAAGUCGCGGGGCAGCAUGGGGGUUGCUUGCAAUCCCCGAUGGCGACCGGCGCACGGGUGAGUAACGCGUAUCCAACCUGCCCUUCACCACGGGAUAACCCGGCGAAAGUCGGACUAAUACCGUAUGUUGUCCAUUGACGGCAUCCGAUUUGGACGAAAGGUUUGGCGGUGAAGGAUGGGGAUGCGUCCGAUUAGCUGGACGGGGGGGUGACGGCCCACCGUGGCGACGAUCGGUAGGGGUUCUGAGAGGAAGGUCCCCCACACUGGAACUGAGACACGGUCCAGACUCCUACGGGAGGCAGCAGUGAGGAAUAUUGGUCAAUGGGCGUAAGCCUGAACCAGCCAAGUAGCGUGCAGGAUGACGGCCCUAUGGGUUGUAAACUGCUUUUAUGCGGGGAUAAAGUGGCCCACGUGUGGGUUUUUGCAGGUACCGCAUGAAUAAGGACCGGCUAAUUCCGUG